rnacentral:rRNA from 1 species
UACGUAGGGACCAAGCGUUGUUCGGAUUUACUGGGCGUAAAGGGCGCGUAGGCGGCACGACAAGUCACUUGUGAAAUCUCCGGGCUUAACUCGGAACGGCCAAGUGAUACUGUCAAGCUAGAGUGCAGAAAGGGCAAUCGGAAUUCUUGGUGUAGCGGUGAAAUGCGUAGAUAUCAAGAGGAACACCUGAGGCGAAGGCGGGUUGCUAGGCUGACACUGACGCUGAGACGCGAAAGCGUGGGGAGCAAACAGG